rnacentral:rRNA from 1 species
GACGAACGCUGGCGGCGUGCUUAACACAUGCAAGUCGAACGGAAAGGCCCUGCUUUUGUUGGUUUCUCGUUUGGCGAACGGGUGAGUAACACGUGUGUAACCUGCCCUUGUCUUUGUGGUAACUUCAGGAAACUGGGGCUAAUAUCCGAUAUGAGCUCCUGCUGCAUGGUGGUCGUUGGAAAGAUUCGGCUGUUGGGGAUGUACUCGCUGCUUAUGAGCUUGUUUGUGUGGUUGUGGAUUACCAAGGCUUUGACGGGUAGCCUGCCUGAGAGGGGUACCGGCCACAUGAGGACUGAGAUACGCACCAGACUGGUAUGGGAGGCAGUAGGGGAGAAUAUUGCACAACGGGGGGAAGUGAGAUGUAGAAACGUCGGGUGCGGGAUAACGGCCUACGGGGGGAAAACAGAUGUCGACUGAGACAAAGAGGGAGUGACGGUAAUGGGUAAAGAAGCAACGGCUAACUACGUG